GUAAUUCGAGCGUGGGACUGUGCAAUUCUCGGAUUGGGAAAGGGAGGAGUGGAAAUAACCCCGGCAGUGCCAGGCUUGCUGGUGGUCAGGAACAGAUGAUUCCAGCCCUGUGCUGAUCGCCUGCCUUCCUCCUGCCAUUCAGAAUGCUGCUGUCUCGUGUACUUACUGUUAAGGAUCCUGGAAAAGGGAGUGGUUCCUCCUAGCUGCAAACAAGGGCGCUACUUUUCUUUUCUCUUUAAUAGAAUUACGUUUUAUAGGUGUGUCUAGGCAACACAAGGGAAUGUGAAAGACUUUCAGAGGGAAUGUUUGUGAAUACAUCUGGUGUGUACUAAAAAGCUGGAAAACCCCUAAGUAAAUGCAAUAUCGAUAGAAAGCGAGUUUCUUGAAGAGUCAUCUGCUAAACUCCACUAGAGUCAUCUCUACAGGUGUGGUUAAGAGAAAAAAAAAUUGCCAUUAAGGAAUCAGCAAAUAGGAUGUCUGAAGUGAGGAUAUAGCACCUAUCUCUGAGAUUAAAGUCAUCUGAUCAAAAAUGAUGCCUCUGAGACUAUAACAAAGGAAUGAAUAAUGAAAUAUAAGAAUGGGGAUUCUGCACUAACUCUAUGGGGAAGAAAACAAUGUCUCUGUUCAUCAUGAGAAAUGCUCAGCGACUGCAGACAUAAAGAGAAAGCUUUCAAUUAAAGUUUCAAUGAUGGGAUAGGAACUGAGAAGUCUGUGGAGUUUUCUGCCUAGGAGUACCCUUGGAAAAGCCACUGCUAUGCCCAACCAGCACUGGGAAUCCCAGAUCACAUGCAAUCAUAGGAGUUGCCCUGGAGGCAGAAGCUCAGCACAUGUUCUGGUACA
rnacentral:lncRNA from 1 species